rnacentral:misc_RNA from 1 species
ACACAUGCAUAUAUAGAUCUUCCUCAAGAAAAAGACAUUUUCUUCUGUGCACCCCAUCUACGCCAGUACACGCACCCCACUCCUUUUGGUGACUCCGUAUUCAUUCUACUUAUUUCUUCAGGUACUCAACGAGGAGUACGAUAGGUCAAUGCAGGCUGACCUCCUCCUCGUUGGGAGCACAUGUGCCUGAGCUGAAACCCUCACUCUCUAUCAAGCACCCUCCCCCCCCCCCACACGCACAAAAACGGCAUGAUACAUCUUCUUCGCAGCCUUCUUUGCUUUUUCGUUUUGUCAUUGACUUUUUCCUGAUGCCGGGAGGACAAAGACCUCUCCGUGCGUCGCAUCCUCAGGGCACCAGUGGUGCCGGCUCUGCGGGGGAGAAGCCAGGCACCCCCUAUAUAUCCCCUGCCGAUCCCAAGCCACUCUGGUGUUGACAGGGUCCAAGCGCUGACGGCGUAGGGAGGCCGGAGCGAUAUAUUGCUGCUGAUGUGGGCGGUAAGGGCGUGGGUGCCGUUGCGUCAGGGCAACCUGAGGCGCGUGGGGUGGGUGGAGUUUAAUGCCGGGGCCGUGCUCGCAGAUGACUGCGUCGCCGCAUUGCUGUACGUUGCGCGUGUCUAGCGCUCCUUUGGACCAGGGCACGGGGCCCUGUGGCAGGGCCGGUCGUGGGGUAGCGGGUGGCAUGGCUUGUUGUGCUUGUAGUUUGGAAAAAAGUGGAUGCAUCGACGAGCGAAAGGAAAAAAAAAAGGAUUCCCCGCUUAGUACACUUUCUCCGUCCUGUCAUUGCCUCAUCUGUCUUCACUGCAACUUCGAUCAUCGGCACCCUCAACAAAUGGAUCCGCAGCGCUAUCAGGAGUCAUAUGGGUCGGUGGGGGGGGGGCGGAGUCCACGACCUCGCCUCUCGUCUGACAUGCGCAUGGGAGGCAUGAUGUGGAUCUCCAAGCUGGCCAGUUAACGUUGACCCCGCGGUUAUCGUUCCGCAGUUUUCAUUUGAGACUGCUCGAAGAAGUUGCGAGACCUGCCUCACGCUGUUUGUGUGUGUGGCCGCGUGCGUGGAUUAGUCCAACGGAGCCGCGACCGCACAGGCGAACUCACGAUACCGGCGUCUCCACGCAAUCUAUAGCACAAGGUUCCUUGUCAACGGGGCACUGGAUGCGCAUCUCUGAUCCUUCCUCCGAUAGUGUGCGGACACCCGUUCUAUGGUCUGGGCAAUCGACUCCUCUCCCGUGAAUUCUCUCCCGUCCCUCCGCCGACUGCGGCUACAUGCAG